UUGCCAAUCAGUGACCUUGAUUCUUGGUUGAAGACACCCUCCAUAUAUGUUUUUGAUUGCUCUGCGACUGGGGGAAUAUUGUGAAUGCUUUUAUUGAGCUUCAUGAUUGGGUUGCUUCUAGCUCCUCUGGAUCCACAAGGGAUUGCAUUCUACUUGGAGCUUGUGAAGCACAUUAGACUCUUCCACAAAGUGCUGAAUUUCCUGCAGAUGUGUUUACGUCUUGUCUCACAACACCUAUUAAGAUGGCUUUGAGAUGGAUCUUGCAGGCAAAGGACACCAAGUGAAUUAGAUAGAGAGGUUAAGAACUUGAGGGUGGCAUUUACUGACCUGUUUUUGAAGCAUAACAUUUUCAAAGAAACUGCAAAGCCAUCGAGAUAUUGAUGCAAAUAAUGGAAGAAUGUAUUUCACUAAUUUUUGAAUACAUUUCUUGUUUUGUAUUUAGUGAUAAAGGAAUCUGAAUUGGGCAUAAAUUAUGUUGUAAUAUGAUUUCUUAAGCCUAGACUAGUAGACUAAAUAUUGUAAUUACAUUUGAGUAAUUAAUAAAAAUCUAUUUAUGUUA